ensembl:lncRNA
GUGGAUCAUAGAGGAUCCUGCUGUGAUUUAUGUCUGAGAGUGUUUUGCCUAUGUUCUCCUCUAGGAGUUUUAUAGUUUCUGAUCUUACAUUUAGAUCUUUAAUCCAUUUUGAGUUUAUUUUUGUGUACGGUGUUAGAAAGUGAUCUAGUUUCAUUCUUUUACAAGUGGUUGACCAGUUUUCCCAGCACCACUUGUUAAAGAGAUUGUCUUUACUCCAUUGUAUAUUCUUGCCUCCUUUGUCAAAGAUAAGGUGUCCAUAUGUGUGUGGAUUUAUCUCUGGGCUUUCUAUUUUGUUCCAUUGAUCUAUAUUUCUGUCUUUGUGC